GUGAGGAAUAUUGGACAAUGGACGCAAGUCUGAUCCAGCCAUGCCGCGUGAAGGAUUAAGGUCCUCUGGAUUGUAAACUUCUUUUAUAAGGGACGAAAAAAGGCUUUUCUAAGUCGUCUGACGGUACCUUAUGAAUAAGCACCGGCUAACUCCGUGCCAGCAGCCGCGGUAAUACGGAGGGUGCAAGCGUUAUCCUGAUUCACUGGGUUUAAAGGGUGCGUAGGCUGGCAGGUAAGUCAGUGGUGAAAUCCUAGAGCUUAACUCUAGAACUGCCAUUGAUACUAUCUGGCUUGAAUAUUGUGGCGGUAAGCGGAAUAUGUCAUGUAGCGGUGAAAUGCUUAGAUAUGACAUAGAACACCUAUUGCGAAGGCAGCUUACUACGCAUAUAUUGACGCUGAGGCACGAAAGCGUGGGGAUCAAACAGGAUUAGAUACCCCGGUAGUCC
rnacentral:rRNA from 1 species